rnacentral:misc_RNA from 1 species
UUUUUUAAAACAGAUGCAUGCAUGGAUACAUGUACGUGUAUAUGCCUUGAAUAUAUCGCAUGUUUUUGUAUUCACUUAUAUUAAUUGUAAUAAUUUUUUUGGAGUGAAUGUUAUAUGUGUCCUUUGUGAUUUCAACUAUGCAAAUAAUUUCUUAAUUUAUAUUGCUCAAUUUCUUUGGUGAAAAAUUCGCACAAAAAUAAAGUUGAACUUUGUCUAGCGAGUGAAAGUUUAUUUCAUAUAGAGACUGCUACAAUUGUUGAUAAAAAUGAACGCUAUUUAUCUGCAAUGCAGUUAAAUUAUGUGGUCGAUCAUUUUGAUACAUGCAAUAAGUUUAAUGUUUAAAUUGGUCAUUCUAUUUUAAGAGAAAAUAAGAUAAUUUCUUGUCUUGCUUAAUUUAAAUGCUAUGCUGCUUUUAUUCCAGUAUUGACACUAUGUGUUUUGCAUUCUUUUAUAAAUACAAAGUAUCAUAAAACAAUGUUUUGUAUUUUCAUAUAUUAUUGCAUAUAUAAACAACAUGAUAG